rnacentral:rRNA from 1 species
CAGCCGCCACGGUAAUACGGAGGGGGCUAGUGUUGUUCGGAAUUACUGGGCGUAAAGCGCACGUAGGCGGCAUGGUAAGUUAGAGGUGAAAGCCUGGAGCUCAACUCCAGAAUUGCCUUUAAGACUGCCGAGCUAGCAGGUGAGAGAGGUAAGUGGAAUUCCGAGUGUAGAGGUGAAAUUCGUAGAUAUUCGGAAGAACACCAGUGGCGAAGGCGGCUUACUGGCUCAUACUGGACGCUGAGGUGCGAAAGCGUGGGGAGCAAACAGGAUUAGAUACCCGUGUAGUCCCUGUCUCUUAUAC